AGGGGGCUGUGGAAACAGUGACAGGCUGCACAUGGGGUGGGGGUGGGAGUGAGGAAGACCCAGGAGGGGCCUGGCAGGGGAGCCAGAAGGGCAAAGAGCAGCAGGAGCUCCGCAGGACUUAGUGGGUGAGCAGGCAAGCGAGUGAGAGUCUUGCGGGGUGCUGGGAGCAGGCGGGCAAGCGAGGGUCUUGCGGGGUGCUGGGAGCAGGCAAGCGAGUGAGGGUCUUGCGGGGUGCUGGGAGCAGGCGGGCGAGCGAGGGUCUUGCGGGGUGCUGGGAGCAGGCAAGCGAGUGAGGGUCUUGCGGGGUGCUGGGAGCAGGCGGGCGAGCGAGGGUCUUGCGGGGUGCUGGGAGCAGGCAGGCAAGCGAGGGUCUUGCGGGGUGCUGGGAGCAGGCGGGCAAGCGAGGGUCUUGCGGGGUGCUGGGAGCAGGCGGGCAAGCGAGGGUCUUGCGGGGUGCUGGGAGCAGGCAGGCAAGCGAGUGAGGGUCUUGCGGGGUGCUGGGAGCAGGCAGGCAAGCGAGUGAGGGUCUUGCGGGGUGCUGGGAGCAGGCGGGCGAGCGAGGUAGGGUCUUGCGGGGUGCUGGGAGCAGGCGGGCGAGCGAGGGUCUUGCGGGGUGCUGGGAGCAGGCGGGCGAGCGAGG
rnacentral:lncRNA from 1 species